GACAGCUCCUUGCCCUAAGAACACAUUUCAACCAUCUAACUCUGCCUUAGAUCAUAUGUGGCCGCCAGGAAGACGGCAACAACUUGCUACUUAUGGGGGGAAACUACACAACUUGGACGUUUCUUUAAUAGGAAUCCAUUUCCGAAUAUGGAUGUUCUACAUAGAGCAGACAAUGAUAUCGACAUACACUAUAGGUGGGUUAUCGUAUCCUGCUUUAUUUUGUUAAAUGGAAGGAAAAUCUACAACAUUUUCGUUUUCAAAAGAACAACGUUAGUGGGAAAUAGCAGCAAAAUAGUGGAUUGACUGAGAUGGCGAGAAAGAAUGGAARGGAUUUGRUUUUCCACGGCGUCUAUUGUCUGCAGAGGGUAGGGGACAGGAGCUACAUUAACCGUCUGUCCCCCCGUCAAGACAAGACGAGACACCUGGGAGGCAUGGGAGGAAGAAAAAAAAAGUGGACUAGAAGUGAACCUUUUUUCUCUUCGAGGACUAAGGUUACUUAUCGGAGGAAAGUAAACGUUUCCAGAUUAUGCUGUUAGAAUACUUUACUAUUCCACAUGUAAAUGGUUAUCAACAGCAGUAGCAGAAUAGCUGCACUAGGCCUGUUCAUUUUGGGAUCAAUAUAAUAGCGAGAAUAACCAGACAUUAAUAAUGUUUUCAUUGUAAUUAAUGUUAAUAAUCUAGCUGAUAUCUGAUAUUUUUUAUGUUCUUUUGACGUUUUCUGUUUAAAAAAGAAAGGAUCCUGUUGUAUAGCGAAUUCGGUUCAAGUCAGUUAAUUGUUAGAUCGAAGACAGAUGACAUUGAUGAAAGGUCAGUUAAUAGUUUGAUGUUUGCAUUGUCUUAUUUCUAUUCCUGAAUUUCCUGAGCACAAUAAAACGUUCUCUCACAUGGA